rnacentral:rRNA from 1 species
GCAGUGAGGAAUAUUGGACAAUGGGCGCAAGCCUGAUCCAGCCAUGCCGCGUGCAGGAUGACGGUCCUAUGGAUUGUAAACUGCUUUUGUACGAGAAGAAACACUCCUACGUGUAGGAGCUUGACGGUAUCGUAAGAAUAAGGAUCGGCUAACUCCGUGCCAGCAGCCGCGGUAAUACGGAGGAUCCAAGCGUUAUCCGGAAUCAUUGGGUUUAAAGGGUCCGUAGGCGGUCUUGUAAGUCAGUGGUGAAAGCCCAUCGCUCAACGGUGGAACGGCCAUUGAUACUGCUGGACUUGAAUUAUUAGGAAGUAACUAGAAUAUGUAGUGUAGCGGUGAAAUGCUUAGAGAUUACAUGGAAUACCAAUUGCGAAGGCAGGUUACUACUAAUGGAUUGACGCUGAUGGACGAAAGCGUGGGUAGCGAACAGGAUUAGA